UCCCUGGUGGCUCAGAUGGUAAAGAAUCUGCCUUCAACGCAGGAGACCCAGGUUCAAUUGCUGGAUCGGGAA
rnacentral:tRNA from 1 species